CUAAACGGACGAAAUAUAUUAUACUCUUGCGUGUGCCGUAUAAAAUAAUAAUAAUAAUAAUAUACUAUACCGCCGUGACCACACGUGUAUUAGACACUAGAUUACAGCCUUUAGCCGGACAAUGGAGACCGCUAUAUAUAAAAAGGACCGCAAAUGAUUACGCGCGCGGGGAUACGGAGGGAAAAAAUUGCGCUGCGUGGAAAACGUGGGGGGGGAGGAGGAAGAGAGAGAUGAAAAGUGAAUUCCGUUGUUCAUUCGACUCACGUAUAUUAUUAUACGUAUUUACGGGAAAACAUACGUACCGCAGCGUAUAAAAUACAAGCUUAAUAUUAUAAUGUAUACGAGAACGGCGUAUAUAAGGAACGCGGUUUACGUCUCUAAUGAAAUGGAAAUUCCGCUCGUGUUAAAAAAAAAAAAAAAAGGACCGACAACAACAAAAAAUGUAUUUUACUAUGCGAUUUUUAGGUUAUAUUUUCUUUUUUCAGCGUUCACCCUGCGGUGUACGUUAUACGGUUUUUUAUUCAAUAUGUUGUUAUUGUAAAACUUUGUUUUAUUUUUCUACCAAACGGUCACACAUAUAAUAUUCAGGAUAUCGUAUAACUCGUAGUUGUUUUAGAUUCUGAGCACGGCCGCGUAGUGUCCGCGGUUUUACUACGGCGUGUGUUUUAUUUUUCAACUAUUUUUCUAUCAGAAAUCUUCGUUUAUCAAAAAAACAUCAACCGCGCUGUUUCGUAACGUUUUGGAUAAAAUUGGCGCGUGAGAAAUAUCGUUUUUUGAUUAUUCUUAUCGUUUUUUAAACAAUCGGGGGAAAAUGAAAACGUUUACUGCAAUAAUAACAGUUUUUUUUUUUUUUGUAAUUCGGUUAAAUAAUUGUAAAAACCCAAAAUGUUCGUCUAAUGUAUUAGCCUUUUCUAGACGUGGAAAAACGUUCAAAAUAUUCUGCAGAUUUUUGAGUUAUCUAUUUAUAGACAUUUGACAUUUUCGCGUUUUUUAAAAAAAUGUUGUUUUGGUUUUAUAUAGAUAAAAUUGUUUCGUUCGAGCAGUGAUGUUUGAACAUUCUACACGACGCCCGUCAUAAGUUAUAUGAUCGUAAAAAAAAAGUCGAGCGUUAAUGUAAUAGUUUUUCUUUUUAUAAGCUUUUUUUUCAAAUUCAAAAAUGUGUAUGGAUGUAUGUAACAUUUACCGUUAAUGAGUUUUAUAACAGUUUAAAGUUUAGACCGGAGGAGUACGGAAGGGUUAUCAAUUUAUCAUCUAAAAGUUUGGAUAUGAAGCUUAUUGCCCUUACACGUCCGGUCUAAAUUUAAAAUUGUUAUAUAAUGUCAGAAAAUCACUGGUUCGUGAUAAAUGGAUUAUCCUGUGUAUUAUACGAGCACGUAUUGGAGUCAAAUAAAACAUUUUUUUUGUUCUUUUUUCUUUGUAAACAUAUGUACUCACACACGCCCUUUUAGAUUCUGGAUGUCUGCUGAUGCUGUUGCAGCUGCAGUUUUCGGGCGCUUCAGAAAUUAUGAUUCCGUUUCGAAUUCCGACUACUACUAACGUUUUAUAUUGUUUUGUGAACAUAAAUUUUAUAACUGACACUACGCCAUUCGGGUUCUUUAUUUUUGCCAAAAAAAAAA